GACGAACGCUGGCGGCGUGCUUAACACAUGCAAGUCGAACGGAAAGGCCCUGCUUGCAGGGUGCUCGAGUGGCGAACGGGUGAGUAACACGUGGGUGAUCUGCCCCUUACUUUGGGAUAAGCCUGGGAAACUGGGUCUAAUACUGGAUAGGACCAUGCUGUAGGUGGUGUGGUGGAAAGAUUAGUUUCGGUAAGGGAUGAGCUCGCGGCCUAUCAGCUUGUUGGUGGGGUAAUGGCCUACCAAGGCGUCGACGGGUAGCCGGCCUGAGAGGGUGGACGGCCACAUUGGGACUGAGAUACGGCCCAGACUCCUACGGGAGGCAGCAGUGGGGAAUAUUGCACAAUGGGCGCAAGCCUGAUGCAGCGACGCCGCGUGGGGGAUGACGGCCUUCGGGUUGUAAACUCCUUUCAGCCAUGACGAAGCCCUUGUGGUGACGGUAGUGGUAGAAGAAGCACCGGCUAACUACUUG
rnacentral:rRNA from 1 species